rnacentral:rRNA from 1 species
GGCCAUAGUGGGUGAUAGCCCUGUACGCGAAAAUCCCUUUGCAAUGAAAUCGAGUAGGACGGGGCACGAGAAACCUUGUCUGAAUAUGGGGGGACCAUCCUCCAAGGCUAAAUACUACUGACUGACCGAUAGUGAACCAGUACCGUGAGGGAAAGGCGAAAAGAACCGCGGAGAGCGGAGUGAAAUAGAUCCUGAAACCGUAUGCGUACAAGCAGUGGGAGCCCACUUUGUUGGGUGACUGCGUACCUUUUGUAUAAUGGGUCAGCGACUUAUUUUCAGUGGCGAGCUUAACCGAAUAGGGGAGGCGUAGCGAAAGCGAGUCUUAAUAGGGCGUCUAGUCGCUGGGAAUAGACCCGAAACCGGGCGAUCUAUCCAUGGGCAGGUUGAAGGUUGGGUAACACUAACUGGAGGACCGAACCGACUACCGUUGAAAAGUUAGCGGAUGACCUGUGGAUCGGAGUGAAAGGCUAAUCAAGCUCGGAGAUAGCUGGUUCUCCUCGAAAGCUAUUUAGGUAGCGCCUCAUGUAUCACUGUAGGGGGUAGAGCACUGUUUCGGCUAGGGGGUCAUCCCGACUUACCAAACCGAUGCAAACUCCGAAUACCUACAAGUGCCGAGCAUGGGAGACACACGGCGGGUGCUAACGUCCGUCGUGAAAAGGGAAACAACCCAGACCGUCAGCUAAGGUCCCAAAGUCAUGGUUAAGUGGGAAACGAUGUGGGAAGGCUUAGACAGCUAGGAGGUUGGCUUAGAAGCAGCCACCCUUUAAAGAAAGCGUAAUAGCUCACUAGUCGAGUCGGCCUGCGCGGAAGAUGUAACGGGGCUCAAACCAUGCACCGAAGCUACGGGUAUCAUCUUUUGAUGAUGCGGUAGAGGAGCGUUCUGUAAGCCUGUGAAGGUGAGUUGAGAAGCUUGCUGGAGGUAUCAGAAGUGCGAAUGCUGACAUGAGUAACGACAAUGGGUGUGAAAAACACCCACGCCGAAAGACCAAGGUUUCCUGCGCAACGUUAAUCGACGCAGGGUUAGUCGGUCCCUAAGGCGAGGCUGAAAAGCGUAGUCGAUGGAAAACAGGUUAAUAUUCCUGUACUUCUGGUUAUUGCGAUGGAGGGACGGAGAAGGCUAGGCCAGCCUGGCGUUGGU